GAGCGAAGUGAGUUGGAUGAAAUUUCGGAUGGAAUCCAAACUUAUCGUUAGCGGCGGACGGGUGAGUAACGCGUGAGGAACCUGCCUUCCACAAAGGGAUAGCCUCGGGAAACUGGAUUAAUACCUUAUGAAACUAAUUUACCGCAUGGUAUAGUAGUUAAAGCGUAAAGCGGUGGAAGAUGGUCUCGCGUCCCAUUAGCUAGUUGGUGAGGUAACGGCUCACCAAGGCUGCGAUGGGUAGCCGGCCUGAGAGGGUGAACGGCCACACUGGAACUGAGACACGGUCCAGACUCCUACGGGAGGCAGCAGUGGGGAAUAUUGCACAAUGGAGGAAACUCUGAUGCAGCGACGCCGCGUGAACGAUGAAGGCCUUCGGGUCGUAAAGUUCUGUCCUUGGGGACGAUAAUGACGGUACCCAAGGAGGAAGCCCCGGCUAACUACGUGCCAGCAGCGGC
rnacentral:rRNA from 1 species